rnacentral:pre_miRNA from 1 species
AAGAACAACCCAUGAAACUCAGGAUGGAUAGCGCCACUAAUGAUGUAAAACCGAUCCUCACGGCGCUAUCCCUCCUGAGCUUUACAGAUCCUUCUA